rnacentral:lncRNA from 1 species
UUAAAAAUAGUUUGAGUUAUUAUAAAUAACUUUUUUAUUUUGGCAAUGGUUUCAUUAAUAAUUUAAUAUUAAUUAAUUAUUAAUGAUAAUAGAAUUGUUUGAUGUUUAAAUCAUUUAAUUAUGAUUCCGAUGUUUGAAAGUUAUAGCCGGCCAAACUAGCUGACUUGAGAACCGAUUAUGAAGUUCUGAAUUUGAAGAAGAACACCUAUAGUAACAGUUAUAUCACUAUAGGCCCUUUAGU